rnacentral:rRNA from 1 species
UACGAAGGGGGCAAGCGUUGUUCGGAAUUACUGGGCGUAAAGCGCACGUAGGCGGAUACUUAAGUUAGGGGUGAAAUCCCAGGGCUCAACCCUGGAACUGCCUUUAAUACUGGGUAUCUUGAGUCCGAGAGAGGUGAGUGGAAUUCCGAGUGUAGAGGUGAAAUUCGUAGAUAUUCGGAGGAACACCAGUGGCGAAGGCGGCUCACUGGCUCGGUACUGACGCUGAGGUGCGAAAGCGUGGGGAGCAAACAGG